rnacentral:rRNA from 1 species
UUAGAUACCUGGUAGUCCAUGCCGUAAACGAUGAAAUGCUAGGUGUUGGAGGGUUUCCGCCCUUUCAGUGCCGCAGCUAAACGCAUUAAGCAUUCCGCCUGGGGAGUACGACCGCAAGGUUGAAACUCAAAGGAAUUGACGGGGGCCCGCACAAGCGGUGGAGCAUGUGGUUUAAUUCGAAGCAACGCGAAGAACCUUACCAGGUCUUGACAUCUUUUGAUCACCUGAGAGAUCAGGUUUCCCCUUCGGGGGCAGAAUGACAGGUGGUGCAUGGUUGUCGUCAGCUCGUGUCGUGAGAUGUUGGGUUAAGUCCCGCAACGAGCGCAACCCUUAUGACUAGUUGCCAGCAUUUAGUUGGGCACUCUAGUAAGACUGCCGGUGACAAACCGGAGGAAGGUGGGGAUGACGUCAAAUCAUCAUGCCCCUUAUGACCUGGGCUACACACGUGCUACAAUGGAUGGUACAACGAGUUGCGAGACCGCGAGGUCAAGCUAAUCUCUUAAAGCCAUUCUCAGUUCGGACUGUAGGCUGCAACUCGCCUACACGAAGUCGGAAUCGCUAGUAAUCGCGGAUCAGCACGCCGCGGUGAAUACGUUCCCGGGCCUUGUACACACCGCCCGUCACACCAUGAGAGUUUGUAACACCCGAAGCCGGUGGCGUAACCCUUUAGGAGC